rnacentral:lncRNA from 1 species
UUCGGGUCGUGGACUCGGGUAUCGGGCCAAGAAAAGCGGGUAUUGUACCAAGGAUAUCGGAGUUGCGGAGUCAACUGGCCGAUUGGGCAAUAGGCUGCAGGAAAGGACGAUGUGCCGAAGAAUCGGACGAAGCGUCGAGGGACCAAUGACAUGUCGGACAACAUGAUUAAUGCUUAGUAUUAAUUGUCUCGAUCGAAGUUUUGCUUUAAUUGUGCAGGAUUAACUAUGAUAACGAUGAAGACAUAAAGCGAAACAAGGUGUCGGAGUCAAGCGCGAAGGAUUUGUUGCAAGUUCGAGAGUUCGACGGAAGUCCAAAGGUUCAUCGGGAAUGCUACCGGAACUAGCCGAGAAUGAGUUGGGAGCUUGCCGAAGGAUUUUCGGAAGCUCGCCGGAAGGUUCGUUGGAAGUUCGCGGAGCUCGCCGAGAAAGAUCGGAGCUUGCCGAAGAAGCUCAUUGGAACUCGCUAAGAUCAAAUCGUGAAGUCUAGGAGCUUGCCAGGAGUCCGCAGAAUGGUUUCCGAGAGUUCAUCGGAAGACCGCCGGAAGUUUAC